rnacentral:rRNA from 1 species
AACGCGAAGAACCUUACCUGGGUUCAAUGCAGGCUGCACCGGGGGUGAUGCCCCGUCCCGCAAGGGCGGCUUGCACGGUGCUGCAUGGCUGUCGUCAGCUCGUGCCGUGAGGUGUUGGGUUAAGUCCCCUAACGAGCGCAACCCCCGGCGUCGGUUGUCUGUCCGGCGCGACUGCCCCGCACAACGGGGAGGAAGGUGGGGAUGAUGUCAAGUCAGCACGGCCCUGACGCCCAGGGCGACACACACGCUACAAUGGCCCGGACAACGGGGUGCGACGUCGCGAGGCGAAGCCAAUCCCUCAAACCGGGUCUCAGUUCGGAUGGCAGGCUGCAACCCGCCUGCCUGAAGUCGGAGUUGCUAGUAACCGCCGGUCAGCACACGGCGGUGAAUACGUUCCCGGGCCUUGUACACACCGCACGA